AGUUCCACAACGCCGUUCGGCCAGCCUUCUCCGUCUGUCUUCCCACCGUUGCCUCAGUUCGCUCUCUUUGCUUUCAUCCAGGCCGAAGAAUGUCGCCGCACUUUGCUUGAAAUACCUACGACACAAACAUGGACGAUUAUAAAAGAACGCAGAUUGUAUACCAUACGCUCCCUGGCGAUGAAAAGAGAAAACCAACAACCACCCCAAACACAUGCUAUCGACGAGAAUGAAGGGUGAAAAGAGAGAGACGGAAUAAAUGGCGAGAGAAAAGAAGACAAGGUUCGAUCGAAGAGCCAGUCGGAUCGAUAAAAGAAGCCGUCAACGGACAAAAAUAAAGAAGGAAAGAAAAAGAAGAAGUUGGGCUUCCACAAACAGUAUGGGCCAAACGGAACGUUGGCCUCGCAUACCGCACAACGCACCCAUCCAAAGUCCGUACUUCAAUUACUCAACGAACGCUGAGUUUUACAACAACAACAACGACAUCAUAAAUGCGUUUUCCUAUAUUUUCUUUUCUUUCUCGCCACUACAUUAUUUCCGUAGUUGCCACUCUAAACUGCGGGUCCCCUCUAAAGAUUCCUGAUAAAAAGGUGCUUCGUCUUUCACGUUCAACUUGUCUUUUGGGUACACGCAGCCAAAGAGAGUUGGGGACGACCGUCGCACGUCAAGACUUGGAACUUCCGAUGUCGUACAAUUUUCCAGAGGGGAUUGAGAGGAUAAAGUCACAAGAAUAGGAGUUUUGGCCGUGGAUGUGGAAGAAAGAAAACUUACUCUU